GAUGAACGCUAGCGGCAGGCUUAACACAUGCAAGUCGAGGGGCAGCAAGGGUAGCAAUACCUGUUGGCGACCGGCAAACGGGUGCGGAACACGUACACAACAUACCUUUUACUGGAGCAUAGCCCGUUGAAAAGCGGAUUAACACUCCAUAAUAUAGCAGAGUGGCAUCACUUAGUUAUUAAAAUUAUUGGUAAGAGAUUGGUGUGCGUCCUAUUAGCUAGNGGUAGGGUAACGGCCUACCAAGGCGACGAUAGGUAGCUGGUCUGAGAGGAUGAUCAGCCACACUGGGACUGAGACACGGCCCAGACUCCUACGGGAGGCAGCAGUGGGAAUAUUGGACAAUGGGCGCAAGCCUGAUCCAGCAAUGCCGCGUGAGUGAGGAAGGCCUUAGGGUUGUAAAGCUCUUUCGCACGCGACGAUGAUGACGGUAGCGUGAGAAAG
rnacentral:rRNA from 1 species